GUCUACAAACAUGCUACUCUAAACAAACCCGAUCCUGUCUGAUCUCAGAAGCUAAGCAGGGUUUGGCCUACUUAGUACUUGGAUGGGAGACCACCUAGGAAAACCAGAUGCUAUAGGCA
rnacentral:rRNA from 1 species